rnacentral:rRNA from 1 species
UACGAGGGGGGCAAGCGUUGUUCGGGAUUAUUGGGCGUAAAGGGCGCGUAGGCGGUUUGGCAAGUCUAGUGUGAAAUCUUCGGGCUCAACUCGAAGUCUGCACUGGAAACUGCCGGGCUUGAGUAUGGGAGAGGUGAGUGGAAUUUCCGGUGUAGCGGUGAAAUGCGUAGAUAUCGGAAGGAACACCUGUGGCGAAAGCGGCUCACUGGACCAUAACUGACGCUGAGGCGCGAAAGCUAGGGGAGCAAACAGG